GAAAAGAAACUAACAAGGAUUCCCCUAGUAGCGGCGAGCGAAGCGGGAAGAGCCCGGGAUGAAAAUCUCUUCGGAGAGUUGUAGUCUGAGCUCCCUUGGGCGGUCAGUGUGGGUAAAUCGUCUGGGAUGACGUGCCAGGGAGGGUGAGAGCCCCGUCCACCCCACACAGGACCCGCCCGCACGAGGGCGCUUCAACCGAGUCGGGUAGCUUGGGAAUGCUGCUCCAAUUGGUGGUAAAUCUCAUCAAAGGCUAAAUAACGGUGGGAGACCGAUAGCGAACAAGUACCGUGAGGGAAAGAUGGAAAGAACUUUGAAAAGAGAGUGAAAAGCGCUUGAAACCGUCACGGGGGAAGCGGAUUGCGUGAGUGGUGGCCUGCACUGUUCAGCUCAAAAGUGGAGUGUAUUCUGUGCAUGCCGGGCGUGUGUGGCUGGGGUGCGUGCGACUUUUUGGCACGCGUUCCUGGUGAGGGCUCCCUGCCCUGUCAGGUGAGGACACACGCGAAAUGACGCAAUACGACCCGUCUUGAAACACGGACCAAGGAGUCUAGCACGGCUGCGAGUCGAAGGGUGUGAAAAACCCAGAGGGCGGAGUGAAAGCGAAAGAAAGCAAAUUGGGGAGGCGUUGCGGUUUUACCAAAAUGUCCUACCUCGAGCACCUGUGCUGGGACCCGAAAGAUGGUGAACUAUGCCGGAGUAGGGCAAAGCCAGAGGAAACUCUGGUGGAGGCUCGUAGCGAUGCUGACGUGCAAAUCGCUCGUCGAACUUGGGUAUAGGGGCGAAAGACUAAUCGAACCAUCUAGUAGCUGGUUCCCUCCGAAGUUUCUCUCAGGAUAGCGGGCCGACGACAUGUUGUUUUGUGCGGUAAAGCGAAUGAUUAGUGCAUUUGGGGGCCGAAGGCCUUCAGGCGAUUCUCAAACUUUAAAUGCGCAAGGGGGCGGCUGCUUAAUUUGAGCCUGCUCUUUGAAAAACGUCGGCCCUGUGGGCCACUUUUGGUAAGCAGAACUGGCGAUAAGGGAUGAACCUUAAGCACGGUUAAGGCGCCGCAUUGCCCGCUUAUAGACCCCACAAAAGGUGUUGAUUCAUCCAGACAGCAGGACGGUGGCCAUGGAAGUCGGAAUCCGCUAAGGAGUGUGUAACAACUCACCUGCCGAAUGAAUUAGCCCUGAAAAUGGAUGGCGCUGAAGCGGGCAGCCGACACCGUGCCGUUCGGGCAAGACGAAGCCCGGAUGAGUAGGAGGGCGUGGCGGUCAGUGACGCAGGCGUGGGUGCAGACCCCGCUGAAACGGCCGCUAGUGCAGAUCUUGGUGGUAGUAGCAAAUAUUCAAGCGAGAUCCUUGAAGGGCGAAGCGGGGAAGGGUUCCACGCGAACAUUGAUUGGGCGUGGGUGAGUC
rnacentral:rRNA from 1 species